rnacentral:rRNA from 1 species
AACACGUAGGUGAUCUGCCCUUGAGUUGGGGAUAGCCCAUGGAAACAUGGAGUAAUACCGAAUACGUCAAGUUUGCUAUGGCAAACUUGGGAAAAGCGCUUCGGCGCUGCUCGAGGAUGAGCCUGCGGCUGAUUAGCUAGUUGGUGGGGUAACUGCCUACCAAGGCGACGAUCAGUAGCCGGCCUGAGAGGGUGAACGGCCACACUGGGACUGAGGUACGGCCCAG